GGUGACGUCAUGGAUACUACGUCCAUAUUUUAUACAGUCUAUAGGUGUCACAGAGAUGAAGUAAUCCUCCUCUUCAUCGUCUCCUCGGAGCUGAGAGCAGGAGCAGCAGGUUUUUCUGGAUGCUUGGAGAACACAGGGAACAGGCCGUCCGUCCGAGUCCUGAAGACUAACUCAUGAAGUAUGAGGACGUCCUUGGCUAAACUCCAUCAUGCAUCACAGACUAACAGACUAACAGACCAACAGAAAAGAACUGAAGGCUUCUCUCCACCUGUGCACGCUCUUAAACGUCUGAUGACUUUAAUCUGAAAAAAUAAGUUCCAUUAAUACCUGAUAAUCUGAAGACACAUAGAUUCAACUUUUAGUAUUAAACCUUUUAUUCAAAGAGACUCAGGUUUAACCCAGAAGUCAAAAACAAAGAGGUGAAGUGGUUAUGAUGAAUCAGUGAGCUCCUGUUGGCUGUAAUAAUGGAGGAGAGUCUCUGAGAUCUCAGGACUGACUUUGAAUCCUCUGACACUGAGUUUGUGUCUGAUGUUGAGUUUGUGUCUGACGUUGAGUUAGUCUUUGUGCACACUUGAUGCAGACAGCUGCAUGCCUUUCAAUUUGAUUUAGUCUGCAGGCGUGAUGCUAAAUGUUCAUGUGAUGGUCAUGUGACUCGGGUUUGUUCUCCUCCAUGUUAGUGUCAUGAAGCCACUCAGCGACUCAGUGUGUCAUAAAUCUCCUCCAGGAUCUACAUCAUCUCACAGACUUUGAUUUAAUGUGUUCAUAUUAAAUAUUUCUUUACCUUUCACAAUAAAGUAUC